UACGAAGGGGGCUAGCGUUGCUCGGAAUCACUGGGCGUAAAGCGCACGUAGGCGGCUUGUUAAGUCAGGGGUGAAAUCCUGGAGCUCAACUCCAGAACUGCCUUUGAUACUGGCGAGCUUGAGCUCGGGAGAGGUGAGUGGAACUGCGAGUGUAGAGGUGAAAUUCGUAGAUAUUCGCAAGAACACCAGUGGCGAAGGCGGCUCACUGGACCGGAACUGACGCUGAGGCGCGAAAGCGUGGGGAGCAAACAGG
rnacentral:rRNA from 1 species